UUUUUUCUUUUAACCACUGAGCAGUCUAGUUUGAAGAUUAAUAAGGCCAUUCUUCAUACUAAUUUCACACUUAAUGCAAUUUCAUGCUUUGGUAAAUUCCCUUACUCAAGUGCUCAGAUAGUACAGUGAUGCAUUUCACCAAACACACUUACAAAACAAACUUGUCAACCUGCUACUGUCAAGAGUGAGAACACAUAAUAGCUAGUCAUCUGAACUUGUUCUAUUUUAAUGUUCACUCGAAUACUUGAUGCCUCCAGUCCAGCAAGUCUCUGAACUUCUCUGGAACAAGAAAGGUAAGACACAUCCUAGUGCUUUCUCUGCAACUCUGAGGUGACUUCCAGAAAGUGUUUCUACAUGCUGUUGAAAGUCCAAGUUCACAACUCUUACCUGAAGGGUAGAAUUUAGCCUGGAACUCCUUUUUUAAUCCCAAUAGUUCACAAACUAAAUCACUUUACCUCCCCAGAUUCUCAAACUCUUGUGUUAUAUUCUAACCCCCUCCUCCCUUUUCUAUAAAAAUAAAAUAAAGGUCUUCUUAUGCUUCCACAUCCAUUUUCAUGAGCAAUCUUUUCUAAUGUCAUUCAGCAGGUGUCACAGGAUUUCUGCAAAACUUACAAGACACCUUUUGUAAAUGAGAAUUCUAACCGCUGAAGAGACUGAACAGCUGGGCAAGCACGGGUCACACCGCAUGUGCAUCACUUGGACGUGCGAUGCAAUGUUUGAAUAAUUAUUAGAUUUUUUGCCCUUGAGGCCCUUCCUCUUUCAAACUUCCCUAGUACAAUUCUCAAAAUGCUGAAAUAAUCACAUUCCACGGACUUUCCUAUAAGAGGGUUUAUGGUGUCUUAUGAAUGCUGCUUUCCAGAAAAGUCUAUGCUGUCAACUUUGUUUUUCAAUGUCCUUAAGCAAUUCUAUUAGUCAUAGAGAAAAAGUGAGCAUUUGCUAAUGAUUAGAGAGAGAGAGAGAGAGAGAGAGAGAGAGAGAGAGCAUCUGAAUCCUAGGGCUGAGGAAGGGAGUGGCCAGAAGUGGUCUUAGCUGGGAGGGGAGAUAGAGACCAAGGCAACACCCAAAUUGGACCACAGAAAAGUUGUACUUCCCAAAGACAACUUCUAAUGUUUCGGUGGGUACUGAAGUUACAAGUAUCAGCAUUUUCACGAGAAAACGAAGCUUCAACCAGGGGCUCCAAGCAAAUUAAGAAGGAGUAAGGGAAUGUGCCUGACUGGAUUGCAAAACCUUUUCAAAAUCAGGUGCUCCUGACAGCUAAAGGUGUCUUCCUUCAUAGCCUUUGGCCCUGGCUUGUGUGCAGACUCAGAUAAGAGGAAGAGACAGCAAAGGCAAAGCGCCUUCCUGUGCAGGCCUCCCUCAGGCGCUCUCCCCGCCCCUUCCUCCCUUCCCUCAGGCAGGGGCCCGCCCGCUCGAGGCUCGCUCCCCGGCC
rnacentral:lncRNA from 1 species